GCCAGGUGUGGUGGCGCACGCCUGUAAUCCCAGCGGCUCAGGAGGCUGAGGCACGGGAAUUGUGAGUUCAAAGCCAGCCUCAGCAAUAGUGAGACCCUGUCUCUA
rnacentral:sRNA from 1 species